GUGGGGAAUCUUGCGCAAUGCGCGAAAGCGUGACGCAGCAACGCCGCGUGGGGGAAGACGGCCUUCGGGUUGUAAACCCCUUUCAGGAGGGACGAAGGUUCGCCGGUUAAUAGCCGUGCGGAUUGACGGUACCUCCAGAAGAAGCUCCGGCUAACUACGUGCCAGCAGCCGCGGUAAUACGUAGGGGGCAAGCGUUGUCCGGAAUCAUUGGGCGUAAAGCGCGCGUAGGCGGCCCUGUAAGUCCGCUGUGAAAGUCAAAGGCUCAACCUUUGAAAGCCAGUGGAUACUGCAGGGCUAGAGUCCGGAAGAGGCGAGUGGAAUUCCUGGUGUAGCGGUGGAAUGCGCAGAUAUCAGGAGGAACACCGAUAGCGAAGGCAGCUCGCUGGGACGGUACUGACGCUAAGGCGCGAAAGCGUGGGGAGCGAACAGG
rnacentral:rRNA from 1 species